rnacentral:rRNA from 1 species
UUGAACAAUUUACCUGAACGGCCGGGCCACGAACCGGCGACCUAUCCUUCAAAUGUCUGCCUUAUCAACUUUCGAUGGUAGAUUAUGCGCCUACCAUGGUUGUAACGGGUAACGGAGAAUCAGGGUUUGAUUCCGGAGAGGGAGCCUGAGAAACGGCUACCACAUCCAAGGGAGGCAGCAGGCACGCCAAUUACCCACUCCCGGCACGGGGGAGGUAGUGACGAAAAAUAACCAGCUGGUCUCAAUGAGUUCCGGCAUUGUGUGGGAACAAUUUAAAUCAUUUAUCGAGGAUCUAUUGGAGGACGAGUCUGGUGCCGCCAGCCGCGGUAAUUCCUCCUCCUACACCGGAGAUUAAAGUUGUUGCGGUUAAAAAG